rnacentral:rRNA from 1 species
UACGUAGGGUGCAAGCGUUAAUCGGAAUUACUGGGCGUAAAGCGUGCGCAGGCGGUUAUGUAAGACAGAUGUGAAAUGCCCGGGCUUAACCUGGGAACUGCAUUUGUGACUGCAUGGCUAGAGUGUGUCAGAGGGGGUAGAAUUCCACGUGUAGCAGUGAAAUGCGUAGAUAUGUGGAGGAAUACCGAUGGCGAAGGCAGCCCCCCUGGGAUAACACUGACGCUCAUGCACGAAAGCGUGGGGAGCAAACAGG